rnacentral:rRNA from 1 species
UACGUAGGGGGCAAGCGUUGUCCGGAUUCAUUGGGCGUAAAGAGCGUGUAGGCGGCCAGGUAGGUCGGUUGUGAAAACUGGAGGCUCAACCUUCAGAGGUCGACCGAAACCAUCUGGCUAGAGUCCGGGAGAGGAGAGUGGAAUUCCUGGUGUAGCGGUGAAAUGCGCAGAUAUCAGGAAGAACACCCGUGGCGAAAGUGGCUCUCUGGAACGGUACUGACGCUGAGACGCGAAAGCGUGGGGAGCGAACAGG